rnacentral:rRNA from 1 species
GACGAACGCUGGCGGCGUGCUUAACACAUGCAAGUCGAACGGAAAGGCCCUGCUUUUGUGGGGUGCUCGAGUGGCGAACGGGUGAGUAACACGUGAGUAACCUGCCCUUGACUUUGGGAUAACUUCAGGAAACUGGGGCUAAUACCGGAUAGGAGCUCCUGCUGCAUGGUGGGGGUUGGAAAGUUUCGGCGGUUGGGGAUGGACUCGCGGCUUAUCAGCUUGUUGGUGGGGUAGUGGCUUACCAAGGCUUUGACGGGUAGCCGGCCUGAGAGGGUGACCGGCCACAUUGGGACUGAGAUACGGCCCAGACUCCUACGGGAGGCAACAGUGGGGAAUAUUGCACAAUGGGCGGAAGCCUGAUGCAGCAACGCCGCGUGCGGGAUGACGGCCUUCGGGUUGUAAACCGCUUUCGCCUGUGACGAAGCGUGAGUGGCGGUAAUGGGUAAAGAAGCACCGGCUAACUACGUG